rnacentral:rRNA from 1 species
AUUGAACGCUGGCGGCAUGCUUUACACAUGCAAGUCGAACGGUAACAGGCCGCAAGGUGCUGACGAGUGGCGAACGGGUGAGUAAUGCAUCGGAACGUGCCAGUCGUGGGGGAUAACUAUCCGAAAGGAUAGCUAAUACCGCAUACGAUCUGCGGAUGAAAGCGGGGGACCUUCGGGCCUCGCGCGAUUGGAGCGGCCGAUGUCAGAUUAGGUAGUUGGUGGGGUAAAGGCUCACCAAGCCAACGGUCUGCAGCUGGUCUGUGAGGACGACCAGCCACACUGGGACUGAGACACGGCCCAGACUCCUACGGGAGGCAGCAGUGGGGAAUUUUGGACAAUGGGCGCAAGCCUGAUCCAGCAAUGCCGCGUGCAGGAAGAAGGCCUUCGGGUUGUAAACUGCUUUUGUACGGAACGAAACGGCUCUGGUUAAUACCUGGGGCUAAUGACGGUACCGUAAGAAUAAGCACCGGCUAACUACGUGCCAGCAGCCGCCGUAA